UACGUAGGGUGCAAGCGUUGUCCGGAAUUAUUGGGCGUAAAGAGCUCGUAGGCGGUUUGUUGCGUCGGCUGUGAAAUCCCGAGGCUCAACCUCGGGUCUGCAGUCGAUACGAGCAAACUAGAGUGUUGCAGGGGAGACUGGAAUUCCUGGUGUAGCGGUGAAAUGCGCAGAUAUCAGGAGGAACACCGAUGGCGAAGGCAGAUCUCUGGGCCGUUACUGACGCUGAGGAGCGAAAGCAUGGGGAGCGAACAGG
rnacentral:rRNA from 1 species